rnacentral:rRNA from 1 species
GACGAACGCUGGCGGCGUGCUUAACACAUGCAAGUCGAACGGAAAGGCCCUGCUUUUGUGGGGUGCUCGAGUGGCGAACGGGUGAGUAACACGCGAGUAACCUGCCCUUGACUUUGGGAUAACUUCAGGAAACUGGGGCUAAUACCGGAUAGGAGCUCCUGCUGCAUGGUGGGGGUUGGAAAGUUUCGGCGGUUGGGGAUGGACUCGCGGCUUAUCAGCUUGUUGGUGGGGUAGUGGCUUACCAAGGCUUUGACGGGUAGCCGGCCUGAGAGGGUGACCGGCCACAUUGGGACUGAGAUACGGACCAGACUCCUACGGGAGGCAGCAGUGGGGAAUAUUGCACAAUGGGCGGAAGCCUGAUGCAGCAACGCCGCGUGCGGGAUGACGGCCUUCGGGUUGUAAACCGCUUUCGCCUGUGACGAAGCGUGAGUGACGGUAAUGGGUAAAGAAGCACCGGCUAACUACGCG